AAAUACCCAACUCCACAAUAAGAACUAAUAUUUACUCGCCAACGCACUUUGAACCAGUAAGACUAAUUAUCUUUAAAACUUAAGUUACAGGAUCAAAUCCAGUUUGGCAGUAAAGUCAUCUCCAAGACUGAGGUUUCGAGAUCAUCUCCCAAUUAAUAGAAUCCAAUCAAUCAAAAGGGGAAAAAUAAUAUUUCCAUGACUUUUUGUAUAGAACACAUGCGGAGUAAAAUAGAAAGCAAGCGUUCAAUGAGUUGGUCAUGCAUGGAGUACCUGCACCUGUGGAGCCAGUCCAGUAGCAAAAGAGUGUUCUUAACGAAAAGAGGGAAGGAAACACUCUAUUAGAGUAACAAUUGUAAUUUCACUGUUCAAUAAUCAUCCGAGUCCAAUAUGAGAGUUCAUAAGCCUCAUUCUGUCUCCCUCUCUCUGUCUCUUUUGCAGAGAAAAAUCGUACGUCUGAAUUUUCAUCUCAACAGCAUAACAGCACUCACCAAUUAUUAAAUCAGCUGAACUCUUCCACAAUUCAUUGUCAUCCAUGUUAUGAGAAACAUGCCAAUACUCAUCUCAUGCAAUCCAGAAGCUCCAAAAGAAUUGAUAUACCAACAGAAAUGAGCUGAAGAAAGGAAGACAGAUGCAAAGUUCAAACCAAUUAUUUCACCAAAUAAUUGGAAGGUAAACACAUCUGUGCACCUGAAUUGUUAUGGCAAGCAUUUCAAAAUGUACAUCAACAGCACUUUUCAGAAGUGACGACACAAGUUUCCCAGGAAUUAGUUCUCACCAAAUUUGGUUUUUUCAUAUAGUUUAUAUUUAUUUUAUAUAUUACAUACCAAUCAGCCCUCUGAUGAGUCGUAUUGCAUCCGUCCCAUUCUUAUCAUUUUGUUGUCCACCAAAUCAAUGAUCUAAAGGUUACCGAAUGCAACUAUUAUAAACUAAGAGCACCUAAAUAUUAUCUUUAUCUAAGAUGAUGUCAAAAUCAUUCAACCUUCUCUAGCAACCAAGGACAAUGAAGCAAACAUAUAAAUGUUCUCAAAUAUUAAGAAAAAAAAAUUGAAAUUAUGAUAAUGAGACCCCUGAUUACUUUAAUCUGUAAACAUUUGAGGUGAACUGGAAUGAGGAGCAACGCCCAUCACAAGCACUGCCAUCUAAAAUAUCACAGUAGCAUAGAACUUCAAUCGUCAAUAUUUGCAGAUUUUGCCUAAGCCUUUUGUUUGGCUUGUUUCAUUAGCUCUACAAAUUCUCCAAAAACAGUAUCUGAAUCAUGAGGCCCGGGGGAUGCCUCAGGAUGGUAUUGAAGAGACAUGAUGUUUAGUUGA
rnacentral:misc_RNA from 1 species